CUCAGUCGUUGCUGAGCUGGGGUCACCAUCUGUGGGCACAGAGAUCUGUCAACUUUGGGGAAGUUUGGCUGGCAGGAGCCUCAGGAUUAUUAAGUAAGCAGAUGAAUUUCUGUCCCCCUGAGUGGGAUGAAGAUAAUGAGACCAUAUUCACCUUCCCACCGAG